rnacentral:rRNA from 1 species
UACGUAGGGAGCAAGCGUUGUCCGGAAUCAUUGGGCGUAAAGAGCGUGUAGGCGGCCAGAUAGGUCCGUUGUGAAACCUGGAGGCUUAACCUCCAGCCGUCGAUGGAAACCAUCUGGCUAGAGUCCGGAAGAGGAGAGUGGAAUUCCUGGUGUAGCGGUGAAAUGCGCAGAUAUCAGGAAGAACACCCGUGGCGAAGGCGGCUCUCUGGGACGGUACUGACGCUGAGACGCGAAAGCGUGGGGAGCGAACAGG